CAUGAAAGCAUGAACAACCAUCAGGUCCCUAUCGCUGCCAUUCUUCUUUUAAUGAAAUACUUUCAAGAGAAAGAGGACCACAUCUUCAUCUUGACAGAUCCAACCUCGACCAAGAUGUCGGUUGAGCAGGAGAUGACAUUGCCUACCGCACCACGGGUGAUCAUGCUAGGGAGUAGUCUGCUGUUUGCAACCCACUGGAUGGUCAGCAUUGAGGGUAAGGUCUUCUAUAAAGCUAACCAACUUCAUAACUUUGCCAGUGCUUUCGCUGUCUUUUUUGGCUCCUUUUAUGUGUUCAAUCUGG